AUGGCAUUGUGGGAUAUCCCUGUGGAAUGGUCCUGUGGGAUAUCUCUGUGGCAUGGCCCUGUGGGAUGGCCCGGUUGCCCCGUGACAGGGAGGGGCUCUCCAGGGAAGCUGAGCCACAGGAGAUACAUAUGCAAAUAUAAUGUAAAUAUCUUGAGCUUUGUUGGAGUUGCUGACUGUGGGGAUGGGCAGGUCCACAUCCAUAGCACAGGCUGCAGGCUCGGAACAUGGCAGAGGCCCUCCCCGAAUUCCCUCCCGCACUGGCGGGCUGAGGUAGAGGCGGGCCUUGUCUCCUGCGGCUGCUGGAAUCAUCACUUCUCAGGCCUUCGACUGACGGGGACGGGACGUCUCUCCCUGCUGAUGACAAGCGCCCCUGCCAACGGCAGGGGUGACCGGCCGCAGCCGCGUCAGCUCCUGGGACUUGAGUCCGUGAGCCGCCCUCACGGGAGCCAUCGGCCAGUGCUCCUGACCCGACGCCCGGCGCCGAGGCCCGGCCCGGCUGACGCCCGUGCUUCACCUCACAGCCUGUCUCGGCCAGCAGGGCCUGAGCGCGACGGCUGCCUCAGACGCGGGAGAAGGGCCUCUUCGGGCUGCCACCGGGGCUUCCAGCCCCUGCCAACUGCCCCGGGGCUCAGGUUCUCUGCGGAGGCGACAGUGCCGGCUCAGGCUGAGGGAGGGCCCACACGGAGCGUGGCUGCCGGGAGCGCGUCUCUUCACCCCCCCCCCCCCCCCCCCCCGCCUGAAAAGGAAGUCUGGGUCAGCUGUGAAUCGUUGCCCUGUCCGCCUGCCCAUCCGUCCUUCCGUCCACCCCCCAGCCCCUUCAGCUCUCAUUGUCUGUCCUGAGCCAGGCCCUCCACUGGGUCCCCAAAAACCGAAGUUUUGGGGCCCACAGCCCCUGGCCUCCUGCCGGCUCUGUUACCCCUAGGGACAGGACAGGGGCUUGACUUGGAGAGACAGAAGGAGAGGAGGGCACAGACGUGCCCGGCCGAGCAGCCCGCGUGCCGCAGAUCUACUUGAGGUCAUGUCAAGAAAACAGAAGAUCCAGCUUCUCCAGGGAGAAAAGCCCGAGCGUCACCCAGUGGAGGGGAAGCGGCCUGAGGCCAGGCUGGACCCCCGCAGGGCAGAGCCGAGCAGACGGGAGACGGGCGGUCCCGGAGCCCCCCUCGCCCUGCAGGCCUGACCUUCUCGCCUUCCGUUUCUCAGACGGUCCUGUCUUCCCCGUUCCCUCUGGUUCCAGGUGAUGGAAGCCCCUCUCUGCCCUGCCCCGGGGACCACGUCCUGGGGGGCCCUCGCCGGCCUGCUGGUUUGCGAGCAGGCGGUGGGGAGUCAGUCGGCCAGCCUGCCGGCGGGGGGGCCACCCAGGAGGCCUCAGGCCUGUGCCCCCGGGAGCCGGCGCCCUGCUGGCCAGCCGUUGCCGCGGGCAGAUGCCCAGUUUCUCUGGACCGCUCUUCUCAUCCAGCAGAUUCGCCCCGACAGUCCCCCCGCUGGCCUGUCCUGCAGCGCAAGGCCAGCUCUAAAUCCUCCGCCUUGUCCCAGCCCGGCUGGCUGCGAGCCUGGGGUUCUGUCGGACUUGCAGAACCAGGCCGUGGGAAGGCGGCCUCUGCUCCCUCCCCGCCGUUUUCUCCGUCCGCUGCUGGUUGAGCUGGGCCGUCACUGAGGGCAGAAGCAGCCUCUCACGCAGCUUAGCCACACAGCGCUGCAGAGGUGGGCUCCGACGGGACUCGAGCCCCGGGGGACUCCUCGGUUCCACGUGCGCGUGGGGUUCGCAGGUGCCUGCGCCGGCGUCAACAGCAGGCAUUGCGAUUUUUUUUUCCUUUGCUACCAUUGAUGAAAAAAUAUAAUUGUGCUGUUACCCAUAGUCCAUAGUUUAAAAUCAGGUUCACUCGUUGUGUUGUACGGUUCUAUGUGUUUUGUUUUUAAUUUUUUCCUGGUGACAACCUAUAAUUUCCCAUUUUAACCAGUUUCAGAUAUAUAAUUUAAGGAGUUACUCACAUUCCCAGCAUUGUGCUUCCAACCUCACCAUCCAUGACCAAAAUUCUUCCAUCACCCCAAACAAACGGUACAAAUUAAGCAUCGACUCGCCAUUCCCCUUCCCAUCCCUGCUCCUGGUAACCUGUAUUCUAGUUUCUGACCCUGUGAAUUUGCAAAUUCUAAUUAUUUCAUAUCAGUGUGAUCAUGCGGUACUUGUCCUUGUGUGCCUGGCUUACUUCAGUCAACAUAAUGUCUUCAAGAUCAUCUGUACUGUAGCAUGUUUUAGAAUAUUGCUCCUCUUUAUGGCUGCAUGAUAUUCCUGCUGUACGUAUAUCCCAAAUUUUAUCCGUCCAUUCAUCUGUUGGAUGCUUGGGUUAGUUGUGAAUAAUGCCACCGUGAACAUCGAUGUGCAAAAGCCUGUUUGAGUCCCUCCUUUCUUUAGGGAAUAUUCCUAGAUGUGGGAUGGCCUGGUGUUCCGCUUUCCUCGUUGCUAAAGCAAAUAAUCUGCAGUGGGUUACCUUCAUUAAUGGGAAUUUGUUGGCUCACGGUUUUGAGAGUUAGGACAAGUCCAAAACAAGGCAUCCUCAAGGCAAGGGUUCUUCCCCAAAACUGGCUCUCUCUGGCUGUUUACCACUGGUCCUCGGUCCUUGGCUUCUGUGUCACACAGCCCUGUACACGAUGUCCUCUCCUAACCUCUCCUUCUCUUCCCGGAUCCACUGACUUCCAACCCUGCUCGCUCUGUCUGAAUUUCAUUCUACUCGUAAAGGACUCCAGUGAUAGGAUUAAGACCCCUCCUGAUUGAGUCAGGUCACGUCUUAAUGAAAUUACCCCCUCAAAAGGUUCUCCUUACGCUGGGUUCAGACCCACAGAAAUGGAUUCUGUUUAAAAACAUGUUUUUCUGGUGUGUAGUUCCACAUCGCCACACCGGGUCACCGCGGGUCAUGUGGUAAUUCUGUUCUUAGCUUUCUGAGGAACUGCCAAACUGUUUUCCACAGUGGCUGUGGGAUUUUACAUUCCCACCACAUUGUAGGAGGCUUUCUAUUUCUCCACAUCCUGUCCAACACUGGAACUUUCUGUCUUUUAAAUAAUAGCCUGUGGCAAUUGGAGAUUAUUUAAAUGAAUCCCCCAAAAAAAGAGAGGUUGUGUUUGUAAACUGGUCUGCUCCUGCGGGUGUGAUUCCCUUUGACUGUAUUCAACUCAGGUAAGGGCCCUUUGAUUAGAUUACUUGGUACGAUGGCUUUACGGCUUUGGGUUGGACCACGUCAGUGAGGAGCGAGUCGUUGAGUCUCUGCCUUCUCACUGGUUCUGAUGUAAAUGAAGAAUCAAGGGACGGAACAGGUACAGGAAAAGGAAGCCUCCGUAUCUGCACCUGCCCUGUGGGACUGCGGGGAGGCCCAGUGAGAGACGAGCCUGGGCCCGGCCGCCCUCAGUUGAGUGCGACCUUGGCCUAGAGCCCCCUCCCUCUGGCUUCACCAUGUGGCCCCUGGCUUGGGUGAGAGAGCACCUCUUAUGGCGCCUCGAGUUGGACUUUUCACGGCCUUGGAACUGUCAGCUUUUACCCCAGUGCAUCCCCUUUAUAAAGCCGGCCCAUUCCUGGUGCUUUCAUCGGCAGCCUCUGGCAGACCGAAAUACAGCCG
rnacentral:lncRNA from 1 species